GACGGAGGGCGCAAGCGUUGUCCGGAAUUAUUGGGCGUAAAGCGCGCGCAGGCGGUCCUUUAAGUCUGAUGUGAAAGCCCACGGCUCAACCGUGGAGGGUCAUUGGAAACUGGGGGACUUGAGUACAGAAGAGGAAAGCGGAAUUCCACGUGUAGCGGUGAAAUGCGUAGAGAUGUGGAGGAACACCAGUGGCGAAGGCGGCUUUCUGGUCUGUAACUGACGCUGAGGCGCGAAAGCGUGGGGAGCAAACAGG
rnacentral:rRNA from 1 species